UACGGAGGGUGCGAGCGUUAAUCGGAAUUACUGGGCGUAAAGGGUGCGUAGGUUGUUGAAUAAGUUAUCUGUGAAAUUCCUGGGCUCAACCUGGGGAGGUCAGAUGAUACUGUUUAACUGGAGUAUGGGAGAGGGUAGUGGAAUUUCCGGUGUAGCGGUGAAAUGCGUAGAGAUCAGGCGGAACACCCGUGGCGAAGGCGGCCAGCUGGGCCGUCCCUGACGCUGAGGCGCGAAGGCGUGGGGAGCGAACGGG
rnacentral:rRNA from 1 species